rnacentral:lncRNA from 14 species
GGACAACAUGCUGGAUAGUUCCAGAUAAGGGCCACGGUUUCAAAAGGUCUUAAAAAACAUAGCAACAAUACAUUCCAACACUUCCCUCUGAUUAUGGGAAAGCACCCUGCCCUCCAAGCCUAGGUAUCCAGGCUGCACUGGUUUGAAAGUGGCUCUUCACCAGGAUUAUGUGACCAAUUCACAGCAAGCAUUUUUGGUUUUCUUUGUUGUUUAAUUUGUGGAAUUGCCUGAAGUAGGAUCACAGUUUCCUCACAAUUACUUUGUGUUUUGUUUAGGGAGCUGAAUCUGACUCAGUGUACCAGAAGGCAGACAAUUGUUGGCACCCCUAAAUGGCUCAUGAAGGCCUUGAAGAGGCAUCUGGCUAGGUUGUGAAGGGCAGUUGAUAUUCUGUCAACAUGCUUUGUGAAAGAGUAACAAGACACUUGGAGAAGCAGCAUACAAUAGAUGAAUAUGGGCCUCUGUUUUGUAUUCAUUAUUUUCCUACAACAGCCAUCAACAAACAGCGAGACAUCAAUAAUUCAAGUAAGAAAAACUAAAAACCAAACCAGAGAAAGUUCAGCAA